CCCUUAGAUGUUCUGGGCCGCACGCGUGCUACACUGAGUAAUUCAAUGGGUAAGGGAACGCUAGAGCAUUACCUAAUCUUGAAAUUUGCUCGUGAUGGGGAUCGACGGUUGCAAUUUUCCGUCGUGAACGAGGAAUACCUUGUAGGCGCAUGUCAUCAUCAUGCGCCGAAUACGUCCAUGCCCUUUGUACACACCGCCCGUCGCUCCUACCGAUUGAGUGAUCCGGUGAGGCUCUGGGACCUGGACGGAAAGAGCGUUUCGCUUGUUCUGUUUGGGAAACUUGGUCGAACCUUAUCAUUUAGAGGAAGGAGAAGUCGUAACA
rnacentral:rRNA from 1 species